GUGGGGAAUAUUGGACAAUGGCCGAAAGCCUGAUCCAGCCAUGCCGCGUGUGUGAAGAAGGUCUUCGGAUUGUAAAGCACUUUAAGUUGGGAGGAAGGGCAGUAAGUUAAUACCUUGCUGUUUUGACGUUACCGACAGAAUAAGCACCGGCUAACUUCGUGCCAGCAGCCGCGAUAAUACGAAGGGUGCAAGCGUUAAUCGGAAUUACUGGGCGUAAAGCGCGCGUAGGUGGUUUUGUAAGUUGGAGGUGAAAUCCCCGGGCUCAACCUGGGAACUGCCUCCAAAACUGCAUGACUAGAGUACGGUAGAGGGUAGUGGAAUUUCCUGUGUAGCGGUGAAAUGCGUAGAUAUAGGAAGGAACACCAGUGGCGAAGGCGACUACCUGGACUGAUACUGACACUGAGGUGCGAAAGCGUGGGGAGCAAACAGGAUUAGAAACCCCAGUAGUCC
rnacentral:rRNA from 1 species